GACGCCCCCCACCCCCUCUAGUUCGGCCUCUCCAUUCAAGUUCGCCGGCCCCGGCCGCCGGGAUCCGGGGAUGGCACCAGCCGCCCGCCUAGCCCUGCGCCCUUUUUCCAGCCACCGCGCAGAAAUUUAGGUCAAGGACGUCGGGAUCAAACCCAAACCCUGGCGCUCCUCGGCGGGCCCCGAAACCCCCCAGGAUCGGGGAGCUUCAGGAUUGCGGAGACCCUCCCGCACAAACAGCAGCCACAAGUUUUAUUUUCCUUUGGCUCUGGAAGUUCUCUCUGGCUCUGGCUCCACACCGGCACGUCUUGCGCCGCUCCCCGCCCUUCCCCGGCAGAGGAUUAGGACACAAUGGAAUACACUCAACAGCAAAACUAUACCAAAUCCACUGUGGGUCGUGGCAAAGUGGAAUAUUUGGAAAAUCCCAACACUAGCCAAAGCCUUGGAUGACCAGAUUCUUAAUCUCCCUGCCUCCUAAAUUUGGGAUAAUUCCUCACUGACAGGAUUGAUGGGGUGAGAGGAGAGAUUGAAGAUUGCAUUUCACUGCCAAGCCAAGUGCCUCUCUGAUUAAAGAGUAUGUUCACUUCAUCUCUCGUAGUCUCUUACAAGCCUACUCUUAAGAAUAGACAUGGCAGACUUGGCACCAAAAAAGCAAACCAUAUUUUUACCAGAAACUAUUUAGUGAAAUGAGUUUUUAUUCAUGAAAACUUUACCAAGUAUAAAUUUCAUGUCUGAAAGUAAUGGGCCCUUUGUAUUUCCCUUCAAUAAAUAAAUAGCUUCUUUCCUCAA